rnacentral:tRNA from 1 species
GUUUAGCUCAGCUGGGAGAGCACCUCCCUUACAAGGAGGGGGUCACUGGUUCGAGCCCAGUAACGACCACCA